AUUGAACGCUGGCGGCAGGCCUAACACAUGCAAGUCGAACGAGUGGCGGACGGGUGAGUAAUGUAUGGGAAACUGCCCGAUGGAGGGGGGUAACUACUGGAAACGGUAGCUACUACCGCAUACCAUCGGAUGUGCCCAGAUGGGAUUAGCUAGUAGGUGGGGUAACGGCUCACCUAGGCGACGAUCCCUAGCUGGUCUGAGAGGAUGACCGGCCACACGGGGACUGAGACACGGUCCAGACUCCUACGGGAGGCAGCAGUAGGGAAUAUUGCGCAAUGGGCGAAAGCCUGAUGCAGCCAUGCCGCGUGUGUGAAGAAGGUCUUCGGGUUGUAAAGUACUGUCGGCGGGGAGGCGGUAAUUGAAGAGGAAGCACCGGCUAACUCCGUGCCAGCAGCCGCGGUAAUUC
rnacentral:rRNA from 1 species